rnacentral:misc_RNA from 1 species
GAAACUUGUGUGAGGCAGUUGAAGACCACUGAUGAAAAGCCUAUUACUUUGGUGUCUGGUAAAGUUGUAGACGGUGGAAAUGAGCAAGGGCUUGAUGUGCUAGUUCCUUCUUCGCAAAUGAAACCGAGUUGCUGUGGCUGUGGCCCAAGUAGUUGCAUUGGGAUGUAUCCAGCUGGCAAUGAUGUUCUUACAGCACUUCUACUGGCUUUGCCUCCUGAAACAUGGUCUAGUAUCCAAGAGGGGAAACUUUUGCAAGAAAUGUACACUCUUGUUUCAACCCAAAAUCUUCCGAUUUUGCUUCAAGAAGAGGUGUUGCAUCUAAGGCGUCAACUCUGCCUUCUUAAGAGAUGCCAAGAGAAUAAGGUAGAUGAGGAUCUUGGUGCACCUCUUUCCUAGUACUUGAAUAAUUUCUUUAUAAAAUCAUUAUUUUUGUAAGCCAAGAGUGCUUUAUUAUGGAUAUGAGAAUUGUAAACGCAAAUGCACCUCUGGGACUUGUUUAUUAAUGAAGUUGGGAGGGACCAAAUUCACACGGUAAAGAAAAGUGGUCUUCAAGAAUGUAGCACUUACAGAAAAGAGGGUCAUCUUCAGGAGACCCCUUAUAUGGAAUCAUUGAUUGCUGGGC